UUCAUCUGACAACGACAAUGAGUCUUAGAUAAGCAAGGAGUCUUCAUGGAAUAUGAGAGUCACGUGUGCAUGCGACUUUGGGUUAAAGAAUUAUGUUGUGUAAUGUGUGUGAGUACAUUGGGUGAAGCAACUUAUGUCAGAUAUAUACAAACUGCUGUGGGAUAACGACGAUCACCUAAAACUAAAUUUAUUAGGACCAGCAAGCAAGCUUUUACUGAUAAAAACAUCCCUUGAUUAUAAAGUUACACACGAUUAUUUUCGGUGAUCUUAAUGUGGUUGUUGGUGUUAUCGAUGUUGUGGUAUAGUAAGUAAAUGUGCAUGUAAUUGUGAGUAGUAUAGCAUGAUAUGGCCGUAUACUGGAAAAAUAACUCGAAACUUACAAACGUUUAAUUUACUAAGGAUAUUUUCCUGCGCUUACCAACGCUGGGUCGGCAAAGUAAGCGUUUAUAAGUUUCCAGCUUUUUUUCUGUAAAGAGCCUAUUCUAUUGAGCGUAUUUCUGCCGCGUGCCCUGUUUGUCAGUUACAGUUGGUGUCGCAGGCAGUGAGGUCUCUGGCAGGUGGAUCUGUCACAGUGGGAUCUAUGGUAGUGGGAUCUACGGCGACGGCGGCUGCUGGCUGCUGCGUCAGGGCAAGCUCAUCGAGUUCUCCUAUGCUAGAUCGUACAUUUACCGUGGUACCAAGAGGACUGUAUAUGUACGGUCGGCGGGCCAUUACCUCGUACCGCUGGACCCCCCAUCCGGACACCGAGCGUCACACUGGGACUAUCAGUGAGGUGUUCCAAAAAGUGUUGUGUUUAUUGUACGGUCGGAACUCUGCACGAGAAGCCACGAUGACCUGAGGGUGUAACACACAGAACAACCGUGUGAAAACCUAACGUGAGAGUGCAAUAAAAUUGCAUUUUUUGGAAGCUGGUUACAUACUGGAGUGAAUAUCAUCAAGGAAGAAACCAAUUGACUUUUAGUCAACUUCUGGGACUAAGAACUUGUAAUUGCCCGUCUAAAAAGGAUUUAGAGUAAGGUAGUUAUGUAAUUUAGGAUUCACUCUAUAUUUAAAGUUCUAAUAAAGUUUUAGCAUCAAACUAAUAUUUAAGCCUAAGUAGAUAAUAAAACAAAGGUAAACAAAAAAAAAUGCAAAAAAUAAAAUCAAAGAGAAAAUAAUAAAAAUAAAAAACAAAAAAAAAUAGGUAUAAUCUUAAUAGCUUAGAUGUACAUGCUUUAUUAUAUAAUCUUUAACCUGACAAAAAAUUGAGAUCAAACUUAUUAAUAAGUUCAUUCAUAAGAUAGCUUAAAAUUAGUAAUAAAUCAUUAGCGUAAGUAAA